UUCAAACACAAUAGUCCAAUGAGAGUCAGUCAGAGUUCAUGAUGAACUGUUUUCUUUUUCUGUUCAGUAAUGCAGUGCCCGAGGCUUCUAUUGAUUGGACUCUUUAAUGAAGAGCGUUGAUUGGACUCCUGUUGUAGCUUCAGAUUUGCUUCGUCUUGUUCGUUGAGUUUCUCUUCUUACCGUACUGUUGUUUCGAGCUGAAACCAACAACUGUUCCACUCGGCUUCACCUUUUCUGCAACUUGGCAGAAGAAAAUAGAAAUCGACAGUUGCAUCUCUGAAUAUUCGAAUCAGAACGUGGGCAGGAGGUUGAGAAAAUCGACACCAAGAAUGAGUUCUACAUCUGCCGUCCAUGGAGAUGGGUCGCCGUUGCGGCCGACUCUGGUGGGGAUUCCGCCGGCUUGCUGCAGCCUCGUAUUGCAGUUAGACCUGUGGCCGAACAGGUAUGGUGAACUAGUCUUGACUCUUGAGAGGCACACCAUCAGGGCUCAAGGCAGAUGGUGAACUAGCACUCAGAAUGAGCACCACAUCCGCACCAAACAGGUCUUCAGAGACCCGUGGCCGUCUCUACCACAGGGUGCCGGCUCAAAGCGAUAAAUGAAUUGACUUCUGUUGAUAUGAGUUACACGUGUAGACAAGUGCAGAACUGGUGACUACAAGUCUGCUAGAACAUAAGAAAUUUACAGCAUGCAUGCUGUAUGCAAAAACCCACAGCAGCAAACCAUCACAUGGGCAGCUCAUGUUUCGAAUAACACGAACAAUUGCAAGUACUCCGUCUCUUUUGGUUUUUCAUUCGGCAACUAUUUCUAAAAUCAUGAAACUCCGCCUAUGUUGUCUCAACAUAGCCGGUCCCAAGCCCGGGUAAAGGAGGAGGGUUGUGAUAGGCUUGGCGAGCCAACGUAAAAACUCAGUCACCCUUAUGGAGAUGAAACCCAAAAGAUUUUCGUUGGGGCGUAACCCUCUCAGCGACGCGCCACAUCGGAACCCGGGUGUGGUGGAAAAUGAGCAAGGGCCGGGCCGUCACCCCUCAGGUGGUGCGCCGUAUCUUGAUCCGGAUACGGUGGCAAGUGAGCGAGGAUUGGGUCGUCGCAUCCUCAGUGGCGCGCUACAUCGGCGCCCGGAUGUAGUGGAAAAUGAGCAAGGGUCUUCGCAUUUGACUCGACGAGUGCGAAGGGUAAGGAAGCUAGCCGACCCUAGGAGGAUUCGCUUAGGUAGCUGGAACGUAGGGUCUCUGACAGGGAAGCUUCGGGAGCUAGUUGAUGCAGCGGUGAGGAGAGGUGUUGAUAUCCUUUGCGUCCAAGAAACCAAAUGGAGAGGACAGAAGGCGAAGGAGGUAGAGGAAACCGGCUUCAAGCUGUGGUACACGGGGACGGCUGCAAACAUAAAUGGCGUAGGCAUCUUGAUCAACAAGAGCCUCAAGUAUGGAGUGGUAGACGUCAAGAGACGUGGGGACCGGAUUAUCCUGGUCAAGCUGGUAGUUGAGGACUUGGUUCUCAAUGUUAUCAAUGCGUAUGCCCCGCAAGUAGGCCACAAUGAGAACACCAAGAGGGAGUUCUGGGAAGGUCUGGAAGACAUGGUUAGGAGUGUACCGAUUGGUGAGAAGCUCUUCAUAGGAGGAGACCUCAAUGGCCACAUGGGUACAUCUAACACAAGUUUGAAGGGGCGCAUGGGGCUUUGGCUAUGGCAUCAGGAAUCAAGAAGGAGAAGAUGUCUUAAGCUUUGCUCUAGCCUACAACAUGAUUGUAGCUAACACCCUCUUUAGAAAGAGAGAAUCACAUCUGGUGACUUUUAGUAGUGGCCAACACUCUAGCCAGAUUGAUUUCAUCCUCUCGAGAAGAGAAGAUAGGCGUGCGUGCCUAGACUGUAAGGUAAUACCUGGAGAGAGUGUUGUACCCCAGCAUAAGCUGGUGGUUGCUGACUUCCGCUUUCGGAUUCGUGUCCAGCGGGAUAAGCGUGCCAAAGUCGCUAAAACGAAGUGGUGGAAGCUCAAGGGAGAGGUAGCUCAGGCGUUCAAGGAGAGGGUCAUUAAGGAGGGCCCUUGGGAGGAAGGAGGGGAUGCGGACAAUGUGUGAAUGAAGAUGGCGACUUGCAUUCGUAAGGUGGCCUCGGAGGAGUUUGGAGUGUCCAGGGGAAGGAGAAGCGAAGAUAAGGAUACCUGGUGGUGGAAUGAUGAUGUCCAGAAGGCGAUUAAAGAGAAGAAAGAUUGCUUCAGACGCCUAUACCUAGAUAGGAGUGCAGACAACAUAGAGAAGUACAAGAUGGCGAAGAAGGCUACAAAGCGAGCUGUUGGUGAAGCAAGGGGUCGGGCAUAUGAGGACCUCUACCAACGGUUAGGCACGAAGGAAGGCGAAAGGGACAUCUAUAAGAUGGCCAAGAUCCGAGAGAGGAAGACGGGGGAUAUUGGCCAAGUCAAAUGCAUUAAGAACGGAGCAGGCCAACUCUUGGUGAAGGACGAGGAGAUUAAGCAUAGAUGGCGGGAGUACUUCGACAAGCUGUUCAAUGGGGAGAAUGAGAGUUCUACCAUUGAACUGGACGACUCCUUUGAUGAGACCAGCAUGCGUUUUGUGCGGCGAAUCUAGGAGUCUAAGGUCAAGGGGGCUUUAAAAAGGAUGAAAGGAGGCAAGGCGAUGGGCCCUAAUUGUAUCCCCAUUGAGGUGUGGAAAGGUCUCGGGGACAUAGCGAUAGUAUGGCUAACCAAACUUUUUCAACCUCAUUUUUCGGGCAAACAAGAUGCCAGAAGAAUGGAGACGGAGUAUAUUAGUACCGAUCUUCAAGAACAAGGGGGAUGUUCAGAGUUGUACUAAUUACCGUGGAAUUAAGCUGAUGAGCCAUACAAUGAAGCUACGGGAGAGGGUCAUUGAGCACCGCUUAAGAAGAAUGGCAAGCGUGACCAAAAAUCAGUUUGGUUUCAUGCAUGGGAGGUCGACCAUGGAAGCCAUUUUCUUGGUACGACAACUUAUGGAGAGAUAUAGGGAUCAAAAGAAGGACUUGCAUAUGGUGUUCAUUGACUUGGAGAAGGCCUAUGAUAAGAUACCACGGAAUGUCAUGUGGUGGGCCUUGGAGAAAUACAAAGUCCCAGCAAAGUACAUUACCCUCAUCAAGGACAUGUACGAUAAUGUUGUGACAAGUGUUCGAACAAGUGAUGUCGACACUGACGACUUCCCGAUUAAGAUAGGACUGCAUCAGGGGUCAACUUUGAGCCCUUAUCUUUUUGCAUUGGUGAUGGAUGAGGUCACAAGGAAUAUACAAGGAGAUAUCCCAUGGUGUAUGCUCUUUGCGGAUGAUGUGGUGCUAGUUGACGAUAGUCGGACAGGGGUAAAUAGGAAGUUAGAGUUAUGGAGACAAACCUUGGAAUCGAAAGGGUUUAGGCUUAGUAGAACUAAAACCGAGUACAUGAUGUGCGGUUUCAGUACUACUAGGUGUGAGGAGGAGGAGGUUAGCCUUGAUGGCCAGGUGGUUCCCUAGAAGGACACCUUUCGGUAUUUCGGGUCAAUGCUGCAGGGGGAUGGGGGUAUUGAUGAAGAUGUGAACUAUCGAAUCAAAGCCGGAUGGAUGAAGUGGCGCCAAGCUUCUGGCAUUCUCUGUGACAAGAGAGUGCCACAAAAGCUAAAAGGCAAGUUCUACAGGACGGCGGUUCGACCCGCAAUGUUGUAUGGCGCUGAGUGUUGGCCGACUAAAAGACGACAUGUUCAACAGUUAGGUGUGGCGGGGAUGCGUAUGUUGAGAUGGAUGUGUGGCCACACGAGGAAGGAUUGAGUCCGGAAUGAUGAUAUACGAGAUAGAGUUGGGGUAGCACCAAUUGAAGAGAAGCUUGUCCAACAUCGUCUGAGAUGGUUUGGGCAUAUUCAGUGCAGGCCUCCAGAAGCUUCAGUGCAUAGCGGCCGGCUAAAGCAUGCGGAGAAUGUCAAGAGAGGGCGGGGUAGGCCGAAUUUGACAUGGGAGGAGUCCGUUAAAAGAGACAUGAAGGAUUGGAGUAUAACCAAAGAGCUAGCUAUGGACAGGGGUGUGUGGAAGCUUGCUAUCCAUGUGCCAGAGCCAUGAGUUGGUUACGAGAUCGUAUAGGUUUCACCUCUAGCCUACCCCAACUUGUUGGGACUAAAGGCUUUGUUGUUGUUGUUGUUGUUGUUGUUGUAACUAUUUCUAUAAUCAUGAAUUGGACUAAUGAAAUAUGAGUUACAUAUCACAAAAGGUAAAUCACUGAAAACUUCUUCUGAAUAUGAAUACCAUGGUACACUUCUUGUGAUAUACAAUACAUAUUUCAAUCAUCUAGAAUGCGCAAGAGUCGGUAAGUAUAAACCUAGAGAAUAGGGUCACAACUCUAAAAUAGGCCCACGGCUUCAAAUAGCAACCAGUAAAUCACGGUCAGUCGGUGUUCAUUAACCAGGGCAAAGACCGAAUAAUAUCAACCACGAAAAAAGGCCCCCGCUUCGCUCCGCUCGGGGCGACGCGGGCGGCGACGCAACCCCAGCCGUCAAGCCACCUUCCCCUGCCUUCCCCGCCUUGCCGCCGCCAGAGGGGUCGCUGGCGAAGUCCGCGUGGCUUCCAAGGAAGGUGUCGGCGAGGCCGUGCUGCUUCGUCUCCGUGCGGAGGGCUCUUGUAGCCGAGGCGGCGGCCUCCUUAGCCAGUUCUGGUCUGGGCAGCAGCGGCGCGGCUUGCGUCGUCACCUUCCUGAAGGUGUCGUCUUCGGUGAGUUGGGGUGUGCGUUGGCAUUUGGAUGUGGUUCUCCGGCGAGCAGCGACAUCCCAGUUGGACAUUACGCCGGGAUGAUAUUUUCGCAAGUUUAGCUCCCUGUGGCUGUCUGUAGGCCGGUCGUUUGUGUGUUGCCAUGGUAGGGGAGGGUAUAGGGUUCCUCUCCCCUGUGUGAAGCUGCACGGCGUCGGUGCUUCGAACAUGGAUCCUAAUUAUUUGAGCUCUAGUCUUGUCUCAGCUUCAGUUGUUUAUCAACCCUGCGAUUGUUUCUUUGGUGCCCCCGUCCUUCAACAGCUUUAUUUCUUCAUGUAUGGACCAUUGAGCUGCAGUUACGCUCUUCUCCUGGUGAUCUUGCACAGUGGGUUGGACACGCUGAGUAUCUCCCAAGGUGCUACAGAAUCCCUACCGUUCCUUGCUCUAGGGUGAGCUGCUUCAAUUUGUGACGGUCCGGCGCCCUUCGAUCCAGGGCGAUGGGCAGGGGUCCCCUUCGGAAUUGAAGAAGAAGGGUUUGAUACCGAAAAAGGCUUUCGCCCCGCUUUAUAGAUAAAGCAAAAGAAGGAGGGUUUGAUCAUGGUGGUCUCCUUUCAGAGUAGAUGAGGGCAUGUUCAUCUUCGCUGGGUGCGAUUCCCUCUUGAAGCUCGCUUGUUGUCAUUGCCUUGGUUCUUCAUUCGCGUCGAAGGGCUCCAUCAACAUUUAGCUAGUCUACGUGUAGAAUUCCUUGUGCUUUCUGUUGUGGUGCCUGUAAGCUGUUUUUUUGUAGCACCUUGUAUCUGCCGUUUUUAGUUUCAUUGUUUUUCUUUUCCGGUGUAUGGGCCGAUGUAAUUCCUGGCCGGUUGAUGGCUUCGUAAUUCAAAGCCGGGCUCUCCUUGAGCCUUCGUUCUAAAAAUAUUAACCAGGGCAACAUUACAUGAUCCAUUGUCGACCAACAAUGUAAAAAUCAUAGAUUUUGUGAUUUAGCGAAUCCGGGUCUCACACAGUCACACCACGCCCCCUGUACAUGAGAUAGAGAGCAGAGGGGCGCGGAGGAAAUCGAACGACUUCAAACGGAGAGGACGUUCUCGAGCGGCGUGCACCUGCCUACAGGCUGCCGACUGGCCGACGCUGUCCAGGCUCGCCGGGUGCCGCCACCAGCUGUGUGUCUUCAUCAAAAUGUUGCGUACGACAGUUGUUCGGUAGAUGUAACACCGCUCCUGCUCUUGUCCCCUCCAGCCAACGCGUGCUUCAAAACAAUGCCCUCGGGAGGGACAACGGCAUUGAAGGUGCCAUCAUCGUCCGAUCCGGUAGACCCAGAUCUAGGGUUUCCCCCGGAGCUCACACCGUUGCCGCUGCUGGAGCUACGCGACGCCCACCACUCAUAGCAUCUCUCGCCCGACCAUCUGAGCCUCCCAAGAUGGCGCCUCCAUGGAGGUUACAACGCGCAGGGCACCGCCACCCCCCAAUCCAGAGUGAAUUUUGGACUUUCGUCCAGGAGGGGUUCGGAUGUGGAUAGGAGGGACCUCGGCUUCACUUCCAGGGAGGGUAACGGCGUCGAGGAACGCCGUCGAUGCCGGGCCGGACCAACCGGCCAAAGUUUUCUCUAGUCCCCAACCUAUACCACCAAACCCCCGACUGUUCCGGAUCCGACAGCGAGACGAACCGAGAACAGCAGAGAUGCGAGUGCCAUGGGGCUCAACCCACCAGGAAGGAGGAUCAAGAAGGACAACCGCCGUAGAUCUCCAGGCGCCAGAUCCAACGAUCCGACAAAGCCAGCGGCGUAGACCACCACCCUGCGCCGACCGACAACAUCCAAGCACCAGAUCCAGAUGGAUCUGGCCUGAACAUGGUGAUGCCCGCGACCACCCGAUCUGAAGACCACGCAGCCACCACCUCGCCGUGGACUCACAUCGAAGCCGCAGCUGCCGCGCCGCAUCGCCGGCGCCGCAACUCGUCGCCGCCAUGAUGUUCGCCCGCCGCGCCGCCAAACCCCACGCUAGCCCGACGCCUCUUCGCGAUCUGGCUGUCCCGCGUCGCCCAAGACGCUCCAAGGGGGAGAGAUGCCCCGCCACCGCCCAGCCGGCCAAGCUUUGCUCGGCGGCGCUGCGGACAGCGGCGAGGAGAGGUGGAGGGGGAGAAGGGCCGAGAGGAUGGCAGCUAGGGUUCCCCCUGGGUCGCCCGCGGGGCGACACGAGGGGGACGAAGGGAGUACAAUACAUAUUUCAAUCAUCUAGAAAUGGGCAAAAGUCCUAUAAACCCGGAGAAUAGGGUCACAACUCUAAAAUAGGGCCACAACUUCAAACCGCUACACUGAAUCACGGUCCGUCUGCAUUGAUUAACCAAGACAACAUUACCUGAGCACGAUAAUUAUCCAAUCAUAGCCAGUCGGCGUUCAUUAACCAGGACAACAUUACAUGAUCCAUAGUCGACCAACAAUGUAAAAAUCACAGAUUUUGUGAUUUAGCGAAUCUGGGUCUCACACAGUCACACCACGCCCCCUGUACAUGAGAUAGAGAGUGGAGGAGAGCUGAGGAAAAUCGAAUGGCUUCAAACGAUGAGGACGUCCUCGAGCGGCAUUCACCUGCCUACAGGCCACAGACUGGUCGACGCUGUCUACGCUCGCCGGGGGCCGCCACCGGCUGCGCGUCUGCAUCAAAAUGUUGCGUAUGGCAGCUGUUCCGAAAAAUAGUGAAAAGGAAUAAGGGAGGAACAAUUUGCAGAGUUUCCAGACCCGAUAAGAUCUAUAGGGUGCCACAUCAUCAGAAUUUUUGACCACGGACUCGUUUACAAUCCCAUCCACCUGAUAAACUCAAUGGACGAGACUUGCCUGCUCCCCGCGCGUGCGCCUAUCCGUGCUCCCGCGUACGUGGCUUGAUUUGAUUGGAACAAAAUAAGGCCCGGCGAAUCGUCUCAGACCGUUCCUGGAGGAACUAAUUUUGGAAUCUCAAAGUGCUUUCAUUCCCGGAAGAUUAAUCUCGGAUAAUGCUUCAAUUGCUUUUGAGUGUUUCCACAAGAUCCAACAGAGUAAGAAUGCUAGGGACAAUCAUUGUGCUUAUAAAUUGGACCUGACAAAAGCUUACGACGGAGUGGAAUGGAAUUUCCUAGAAGGGGUCUUGCUAAAAUUUGGUUUCUGCCAAAAAUGGGUGUCAUGGAUUAUGACGUGUGUCCGUUCAGUUAGAUACGCUGUCAAGCUGAAUGGUGAAAUCCUGGAAUCCUUCUACCCCUCCAGGGGGUUGAGACAAGGAGAUCCUUUGAGCCCUUAUCUUUUUUUGUUUGUGGCUGAAGGUCUGUCCCGAGCACUUGAAGCUGAAUGUUUUAUCUCUAAUAUUACCCCUCUCAAGGUUGCGAGGGGCGCUCCGGGAAUUUCUCAUCUUCUGUUUGCGGACGAUAGUUUAUUGUUUUUCAAGGCAACUGGGGAUCAAGCAAAGAGCGUGAAGUCAGCCCUCAAUGUUUUCCAGAAAGGCACGGGACAAUUGUUGAGCCCAAGCAAAUGUUCCAUCCUAUUCAGCAGUGUAUGUCCGAUUCAGGUCCAGGAGGAGAUCAUGCAUACCCUGGACCUCACAUCUUCGACCUUUGAGGAAAAGUAUCUCGGUCUUCCAACCCCUGAAGGACUAAUGAAAGAUUCUCAUUUCCAACCCAUUUUCGAGAGGUUCACUAAAAGACUUACGGACUGGGCAGAAAGAUAUUUGUCCUAUGGGGCAAAAGACAUUUUGGUCAAAUCUAUUGCUCAAGCCCUGCCUACGCAUACCAUGAGUAUCUUCAAAAUGAGUGCAGGCUUUUGUGAUAAAUAUGAGAAGCUGAUGCGCGACUUCUGGUGGGGGGAUGAAGAGAACAAAAGAAGAGUGCACUGGAUGUCUUGGGAGAAGAGGACAAAACCAAAGCGUGAGGGGGGCUUGGGUUCCGAGAUAUGCGUAUUUUCAAUCAAGCUCUUCUCGCAAAACAAGCAUGGCGACUUGUCCAAAGACCUGACAGUCUUUAUGCUAGGGUUCUAAAAGCAAAAUACUACCCAAAAGGAAAUUUGUUGGACACGGUCUUCACCUCUGAUGGAUCACCCGUGUGGCGUGGAAUUGAAUAUGGGCUUGAACUCCUGAAAAAAGGAGUGGUUUGGAGAGUGGGAAAUGGAAAGAGUAUCCAAAUCCUUCGUGACAACUGGAUACCUCGGCAAUCUGGCCUUUCCAUACAAUCCAUGAAAACUAGAAGCCGGCUUAGAUGGGUAAACCAGUUGUUGCUUCCCCAUUCUAAUGACUGGACAAGCAGAUCACUGACAAGUUGUUCUACAAUUUUGACUCGGAAGAAAUAUACAAGAUCAAGCUUCCCCCAAAGCCUAUGGGGGAUAUUCUAGCUUGGAACUAUGAGAAGAAUGGUACAUUUACGGUUAGGAGUGCUUAUCAUCUUGGUGUUUCUUUGCAGGGGGGUCUAAUGAAGGAUCCUCAAAAAACCCAAGUAUUGAUAGGGAGAGCUUAUGGAAUCUAGUCUGGAAAGCAAAGGUGCCACAUAAAGUCCGUAUCUUCACCUGGAGGGCUGCCACUGAUUCUCUCCCUACGAAGGACAACAAGCACAGGAGGACUCUUGAAUUGGAUGGUAUAUGCAACCUAUGUGGGGCUGCGAUUGAAAACGCACAUCAUGCUACCGUUGUUUGCACAAAACAGAGAGCUCUUCGUGAGGAAAUGAGUAAAAUUUGGAAACUGCCGGAAGACAAAUCAAUCAUGCCUUUCUCCCCGGAUUGGCUUUUGCAAAGCUUGAGUAUUUGCCAUGGUGACAUGAGGGAAAAACUUAUGCUAGUUCUUUGGAGGGCUUGGCACCUGAGAGAUGAUGUCAUUCACAACAAAGGUGAGGCUACUAUACGAGAUUCUGUGAUUUUCUUGAGGAAUUAUUGGGAGUGCCUAUCCAGCUCAAAUCCGGUUGUAAACGAUGUGAAGGGGAAGCAAAAGUUGCAUGGAGUUAAUUUGCAGUCUUCUAGCCUGCCUCUCCAUGUUGAGGUGCUUGGCUGGACUAAGCCGCCCACAGAUCACAUAAAGAUCAAUGUCGACGCUUCUUUCAUUGCAGGCACGGGUUUGGCCGCGCUGGGAGCGGUUGGCAGGGAUUGUUUGGGUGAUAUUGUCUUCUCAGCUGGUUGUCGUUUUCAUGGAUGCUCGGAUGCAGAGGAAGCCGAAGUCCAGGCCCUUUCUUUCGGCCUUAACCAGGCUCGUAAACUGAAUUUGAACAAAGUGCAGAUGGAGACCGAUUGCAACGCUGUUGUGGCCGUUGUGAAUGAUAGUAAUGUUAGCAGGGCCAGUUGGUGGGCUUGUUAUGAGAAAUCUAAGGAUAUGAUCAAGGAGUUUGGAGCUUGUUCUGUUUUCAAAGUCCAUAGGGAGAGCAAUGUGGUUGCGCAUGAGCUUGCUGCCUAUGCUAGAGUGAACAGGGAUUUCUUUCUAUUAGCUGAUGCGCCACAAGCUUCGAAACAUGUAAUUACUUCUGAUUGUAUUUCAGACUUAUUGAUAUGAAUGAAGCUCUCCCUUUCCUAAAAAAAUAAGGCCCGGCUCCACCCCUUUAAAAUCAGGGGGGAAAUGAUUAGAUUAGAAAAAAAAGAAAAAAAGACAGCUGUAAAAUGAAGUGGGAGCACGGAUGGGAGCAUGGGAAGAGAGCAGGCAAGCCGGAUCCAAACUCAAUGGCUGCUGGUGCGUAUUAGUCCACGAGACGAGAGGCCCACCAAUCACUCCUCAGUCCUCAACAGUUGCUGCUUCAUUUCUUCUUCUAUUGCUCCCUGCGGCGGCUACGGUUGUACUCUUCUACUCGUCUCCUCCCCCUCCUCCUCUUCUGUUCAAUACACUUCUUCUCGCCUGGUACUCUUCUACUGGUACGCAUCUCUCUUCUUUUAUCCUUGUGGUUUUGACAUUUUCUGUACAACUUCUUCCUCUCUUUUUUAUGAAUUUUGGUGAUUCUGAUACGAAUUUUUCAUGUGCAGAAGUGGAUCUACUCUCCACUAGUUCAUCUGGACAGCAAAUUGGAUUUGAAGAACUGCUAUCAGGGUAUCCUUCUUCUACUUAUCCCUUGUUAGUUUAACCGUCAGGUUCAGAUUUUGCUUAUUCUGUCUAAUAAAAACAAAUCUUGUAGCCGUGUGUAGAUCAAGAGCAACUACAAAUAAAGGUUGACAUAUGGAGGUUUGUAUGGAGUGUGAGAAUUCCAGCGAUAAAGAGAUGGAGACAGCCAAGGCUUGGCUGAGGCGCGCAGCACAAGCCCAUCCAAAACGUCCCACCAUUCAAAUCGAUUAGACACGAGUGCUGACUGACAUGCCUCUGCCGCCAGGAAGGUAAGGUUCAGUUGAGCAACCAUGAAUUCUCUUUUCCUGAAUAUGCUCGUUGCCAUAUUGUUUGAUUAUCCCUCUUACUUUUCCAAUUUCAGGCCUUCAAUGUAAUCCCGGAGCCAUGUACUGGUGAUUCCAUCAGUUGCCAUGGAUACUGUUCCAACAUUUGAAACAACUGAUCACUGCACCACUGUAGGCACCGGCAUCUCUUUUGAUUCGUGUACCGGUACUCCGGUAGUGCAGCUCCCAAUAAAGAAGGCUCAUUCUCUCCAACGUAUGUGAAUUCAGUCUUUUGCUACAUGGAGGCUUGCACGUUGUUCAUGAUGAACUGUUUCUUACUUCUGCAUAUGCUUUCAGAAAUGCAGCACCGCAUAUGCUUUCAGAAAUGCAGCACUGCAUUUCCUUUGUUCAGUCAAGACUCGUACAAUAAAAUGUUGCAUUCAGUUCGCACUAUUUGUAGUACUAUUUUCAGAAAUGCAGCACCGCAUAAUGCGCUGCGUUGUUUUGUUUUUCUUGGCUUAUUUAAGUUAUUAGUAAUGAGGAGUUGAUGGAACUCCUGUUGGCUUGUCCUGCUUUGCUUGCACCUAAGGCUCUUAGAAUAAAAGGUUAGCUGAUUGAACUCGUGUUGUAGCUUCCGAUUUGCUUCAUGUUAAGAUUUCUCUUCUUAUUGCAACUGGGUCUAUCUACUAAACUGCUGUUUCGAGCUCGUCGGAUUUUCGUGAUAGAGCCUCCAAGGUAGCAAGAGAGCCUCGAACUACCACAUCCAAUUGGAACUGGUAGGAAGUAUGUUAAUUCCGGUCGAAUUAGAGCCGGUUGUCGCGCAACCCAGGGGGCAGGAUCUGCCCUUGUUUGUUGCAGAGCAGCCCAAGCCCCCAUCCCCAUGGGCCAUGGCACCCCCUUCUCCAACCAGUUUUACAACAGAGUUGAGGAGCAACGUGAGAACUAGUUCUGAAUCUGUGCUAUCACGUCACUGGGUUCCUUUGGAGUUGAUUCAGUUUCAGGUUGCUACUUUAGAAUAGCAGCCACUCGUGUAUAGCUCCUCAACAUACUUAACCAUUUUGGGUUUGUCAACCAUAUACUGGAAGAGAUUUUCUAGCAGUCAAGGAGUCCUCUUUGUUUCAAGGAGGGGAAUGUUAGGACUAUCUCCUGACCGUUUACACUCUGGCUCUGCAUCCCGAUCCCCUCUCAUGCCUCCCAACUACAACGGCCAUGUGUUAAUCCCUGCGUGAUUGAGUGAACCGGGUAGUGGGUUGCUAGCAGGGUUCUCCAAGAUGAUGACGCCUAAUUCAUCCAGCUCUGGAAAUUUACAGAGGGAUAUAUAAACCCCUAAAUCCUCAUCGAGGUGUGAGAUCGACAACUGCUCCAGAUUGUUUCAUUUUUUUCACUUCCACGUAUUUCUUUUUCACAGAUGAUUGCCUCGGCUUGUCUUGGAAGCAAAUGCGAUUACGUUCAUGGUGAUGGUGGAUGAUUACCACUAUUCGUCUUCAUGCUAAUAUUGGUGAUGGUGGAUGAAAUAAUUUACAGUGUGUUGGGAGCCUGUUCAAGUUGGUGUCCCGCUUUUUGUGUUGAUCCAACAUGAAUGAGCUUAUGGUGGUAUUGAGAAUGAACAUAUAUGGUGGUGGUACUGAGAGUUGAUGGAUGCUGAAGCAAUGUAAGCAUUCUUGUUAGUAGUCAGGUUGCUGCAUUGACCAUUCCAUACUGAACUUGAGCAUUGCAGUGCCACCAGCAGGGGAGUGAGUGUAAUCUGAAUUCGGAGCUACCUGGCUCGCUGUGAGUCAAUUCAGGGAACGGAAAGAAGGGAGGAUGACGCGGCGUUUUGGCUCCCGGGGUCAGAUGAGUCUGGGAGUGAACAGUAAAUUCGUUAAAAAAUACUAAAAAAGUUCAAUUUUUUUGGUGAAAGAUGCUCGAGUGCGUGAUGUUCAUCAAAAUUUCAGAGUAUUUAAACAUCUGAGUAGCUCUCAACAAAAAGACAAAUUUAAGGUCUAUAAAAAAGUUUACUAUUUUGUGUUGUUCUAGCCUGUUUUUUUCCUGAGAGCUACUCAGAUGUCCGAAUGUGCUGAAACUUGGCACGGACAUCAUGCACUCAAGCAUCUUUCAACACACAAAAAAUCGUACUUUGGAUUUUUCUAAUAUUUAUUAUGAAUUUAUUGUUCAUCAGGUGUAAAUGAGCUCGAGCUCCGAAUUGGAUAUUCAGGACUGUAAGUUGUACUCCUAUGUAACAUAAAAAUGUGAGGAAAUCGGGAAAAUUAUAAAAUGAGAAAAGUAAAAAACUCAGAUUGAAAAUAGAAUAUUCUAGAAAAGACUGUAAACCACAAAUGGCAUAAAUAUUAGGGGAAGUAAGGACUUAUAUAAUAAAAUAAACAUGGGAAUGAUUCUUAAGCUUUCAAUACAGUUUAGUUAAUUUGCUGAAUUUCGCAAAAAAAUGCUGAAUUUUGUACAAUAUAUAAUACGUGUCCUUUUAUUCUAAAAAAAUGUGUCUUUUCUUGUUUUUUCCUUUAUUUGUUUCACAAUGUUUCUCAUCUGUCCUUUUCUAAAUCUUGUGGAUUAUACAAGUUUCUAGAUAUAUUAUUAAAUUUGGAGCAUUUGGUUUUGUCUCCAACUCCGAGUCUCACGGCUGAUUCGUUCCCCUCUCCUUAUCCCCUCGCUACAGUGCAGAGAGGCGACAAGGGAGGGAAUCACCUUCCCUUGAUCCGCCGCCAUCCAGGCCAGGUGUUCCUUCUCUCUCUGUCCGUCGUUUCAGCCAAGAGAGUGAGGAACUCCGUUCCUGCGGCCCCGACGUGUAGAUAGUCGGGUAGUUCUUCCUGGCGGUGUCGUCAAUGUGGGAGAAGCGGUGUCGCGGAGGAAUAAAGGUGUAUGCGCCUUGUCUCCUGCUCGGCGAGGCCCUUGUGACGUAGCCGGCAAGCGUCCGGCGGUGUGAGCCGACCAGGUGGCAUGCUCGGGGUAAGGUCGUGGCGGCGGAGGUGGUAACCUUUCUUUGGACCUUUUUUUCCCUCCCGCUCCAUCUCCGUCUCAAUGAGGUAUGCUCUGGCCUUGCUGUGGAGGAGGUGCAGCGACGUUCCGACGGUCUUCGUCUGGUGGCAUGUAUCACCACAAGAUUCAAGGUCUUGCCGGCUCAGGUGGCAGCGGCGCGUCUGCGUCUUGUCUCGAUGGUGGUGGUGGUCGUUUGCUGGUGACGAGGUGCUUUGUACUGCAGGUGAAACUUCAAUACAAUCUAGGACCUUUCUGCGAAAAGAGCUCCAAGUCUCAGAUUUUUCCGAAACAAAAUAUUACACGUUAGUGGAGGCUGCUUUUUCUUUUCUUCUUGUGGGGGUUAGUGGAGGCUGCUGCUAAUAAUGCGCGGAGAGAUGAGACGAGACGACCGCAAGUCGUUCAUUCCAGGUCCACAAAUACUCCGUAGUUUGUUUCCACUACUUCCUGUCUGCUUCUUUCUUUCUGCUCUCUGCGGCGACUACAGACUACAGUGGUCGCGCCGGUCUCUGCUUCUUUCCUUUGUCUCCGGUUCUCCGAGGAAAGAUACUACGGUGGUCUCCUCCCAAUCUGCGACGGCGACGGCGACAGCGCCCAAGGUACUCUGCUGCUCGCCUCCUACCCCUCCUCCUCUGUUCCAUACAUUUCCUUGGAUCUGGUUAGCGCACAGCUCUCUUCCUUUCUCAAUUCUUCGUGGUUUUGAUGUUGCAGAGUUCGAUCCAUUCAACGUAUGCUCAGCUCAGCAGAGGUGGAGAGUUGCUUUUCGGUGUUGGAGACGCUCUUCUUCAGCUCGCCCUCUUCAUUGAUCCAAGCCAGGUGAUGCAUUUUUUUUUUGUGCCGUCCGUCACAAAGUUCAGCUGUGUAGGUAGAUCCAGAGCCGACUGCGUCCCCAUUACAGCUGUGUGGGUAGAUCCAGAGCAAGGGGAGGGUCAGCUCUUGCUUGAUCUGUUUCUCCCCUCCUUGUUGAUCUCUUGCUGCUAUUUUUUACUGUAUAAUUAUAUUACAGUAAAAGUGUUAAAAUAUGUACAUUAGGAAAAAGAAAAAGGAAUAAGAUAAAAUAAAGUAAAGAGAAAAAAAUGGUCAGUGGUCAGAGCUUAGUAUCUAUCCAUGUUCUGAGGGAUGCUGUACGUUUUCUUUUCACUCUGUCCAGCUUUUCCAAACAAAAUCAGAUCAUACUUUUCCAAACAAAUUAGUAUCUGAAAACAAUUAGUAUGUCUAGUUUUUCCAAACAAAAAUCAGAUCAUGCUUUUCCAAACAAAUUAGUACUGGGAGCUGUUACUUUCACGAAACACAAAUGUCCAGCUUUUGCUCAUCCGGUAGUUUUCUGAAAACAGUUAGUUUGGUUUUUGCUGAUUCUGACAUGAAUUUAUUUUAUGCAGAACUGGAUCUAUAAUCUAUUCUCCAGUAGUUCAUCUUGGGCUGCUUUUGCUUGCGGAGGACUCUGCAAAUUGGAUUUGAAGGAGCUGCUAUUCAAGGUACCCUUCUUCUGCUUCUGCUUUGGAAAGAAGCAAUGCAUAUGCGCUAUGUUUACAGUCAUUUUCACCAACCAAUCAGGUUCAGGUUUUCCUCAUUCUGUGUUUUGAAAACCAUCAUGUUUGCAUUGCAGAAUUUCAAGCCAAAGACAAUGCUAUAGCCGUCUGUAGAUCAGAGAGCAAAGACAAAAAAAAAGUCGAGAUAUGGAGGCCGCUGCUGGGGCGUUGAGCCCUGUCCUCCGUAAGCUCGGUGAGCUGCUCGCCGGAGAAUACAACCUGGAGAAGCGAGUGAAGAAAGGUGUACAAUCACUUCGUACAGAACUGGAGAUGAUGCACGCCGUACUUCGUGAGGUUGGCAAGGUGCCGCCGGAUCAGCUCCAGGAGCCGGUCCGGAUUUGGGCUGGCAAGGUGAGAGACCUGUCUUGCGACAUGGAAGACGCUGUUGACGACUUCCUGACGCGUGUGGGUGAGGGUUCAGGCAGCAAGCCAACGGACAUGAGGAGUCGAGUCAAUAAGUUCCUCAAGAAGACCACCACAUUAUUUGGUAAGGGCAAAGCACUUCAUCAAAUCUGUGAUGCCAUCAAAGAAGCUCAGGAUCUUGCCAAGGAGUUGGCUGAGCUGCGUAAAAAGUAUGAGCUUGACAUGUUUAGCUCUACCAACGGUGCUACCAUUGACCCUCGCGUGUUAGCUCUACAAAAAGAUGUAGGGGAGCUUGUUGGACUUGACCGCACAACGGAUGAACUUAUUAAAACACUGAUUUGUGAGGACGGGAGUUCCAAGGAGCACUUGAAGACAAUCUCUAUUGUUGGUGUUGGUGGCCUAGGCAAGACAACCCUCACCAAAGCAGUUUUCGAGAAGAUCAAAGCCCAAUUUGAUUGUGCAGCUUUUGUCCCGGUGGGUCAGAACCCAGAUAUCAGGAAAUUUUUCAAAGACCUACUCUAUGGCCUCGACAAAGAGAAGUUCAAAGACAUUCAUAAUACAACAAGAGAUGAGAAACUACUCAUGGAGGAAAUCAGUGAAUUCCUUCUGGAUUGGAUAAGAGGUAUGCAUCACAUUGUCCUUGUCUUUGUUUUUAUAUUUCGAGAAUGUGUGAAGUAGCCAGAUACUGAAUUUCAUAUCAAUAUCUUUUUUUGUUAUAUGUCUUUAUAUUUGUAGUGGUCCUUUUCUCUGGAAGCAAAUUCUGUUUCUUCCUUUCUUGUGCAUGCACCUUAUCUUAUUUUUACCAGUUAUCUCUGCUGCAUUUCUUUCUACAUGCAUGUCGUUAGUGGUUGAAUAAUUCAUGUGGUUUGCUUAGUACGUUACCAUUAUGUUGUUACAGGAUUCAGUUGUAUAUAAAUUGACUUGCCCACUAAUGAUACAGUAUAACUGGCAUAGGUACCUCGUCGUAAUUGAUGAUAUAUGGGAAGAAGAAAUAUGGAGAUUUAUAAAUUGUGCUUUGUGUAAAAACAAACUCCACAGUCGGGUAAUCACGACAACUCGUAAUGUGAGUGUGUCUGAAGCAUGUCUCUCUUCCAGCGAUGACAUGAUUCACCAAAUGAAACCUCUUUCUGAUGAAGACUCACAGAUACUCUUCCAUAGAAGAAUAUUUCAAAGCGAGGAGAAAUGUCCAGAAGAUUUGCAAGCAGUAUCAAGAGAGAUACUGAAGAAAUGUGGUGGAGUACCAUUAGCCAUCAUUACAAUAGCUAGCCUUCUAGUCAGUAACCAAAGGAUAAAGCAGAAAGAAGAAUGGAUGCAUGUGCACAGUUCGAUGGGCCGUGGAGUUACAGAAGGUGGUAUUGUGAAGGACAUGAAGAGGAUAUUAUCACUCAGCUAUUAUGAUUUGCCAUCCCAUCUAAAGCCUUGUUUAUUAUAUCUAAGCAUCUUUCCUGAAGACUUUGAGAUUAACAGAGAUUUGCUGAUAUGGAGGUGGCUUGCUGAAGGGUUUAUCCAAUGUGACAAAGAUGAAACCAGGCUGUUUGAGAUCGGAAAGAGCUACUUCAACGAGCUUAUGAACAGGAGCUUGAUCCAGCCAGCGGAAACCAAUUAUGAAGGAACAGUAGUAACUUGCCGUAUACAUGAUAUGGUGCUUGACCUUAUAUGCUCGCUGUCAAGUGAGGAGAAUUUUAUCUCCAUAUUGGAUAAUGCUCAGUGGCAUGCACCUAAUCUGCAAAGGAAACUUCGCAGGCUAUCACUUCAUAAUAUCAAGGCAAAGUGUCGGAACCAUCAGUUUGAUAGCACUAGGCUGUCAAAAGUGAGGACCUUUGCUGUUUUUUCUCCUGUUACCUGUGAUUGGUUGCCAUCUCUCUCAAGCUUUCAAUUUUUGCGUGUGCUAGAUCUUGGAAAUUGUGGCAGCCAUGAAAGUAGCUCUGGCAUCAGCCUCAAGUAUGUAGGGAAUUUAAUUCACCUAAGGUACCUAGGGCUCAAGGAUGCAGAUGUUCGCGAACUCCCUGUGGACAUAGGCAAGUUGCAGCUCUUGCAGACACUGGAUAUAGGAGGCACUAUUAUAGAAGAAUUACCUUCAAGUGUUGUUCAGCUCAGAAAUUUGAUAUGCCUACGUGUCAAUUAUAGGGUGAGGCUGCCAAAAGGAAUGGGGAGCUUGAUGUCCCUUGAAGUGCUGGAACAAGUAGGAUUAUCCUCAUCUCCUCACAUUGCGGAAGAGCUGAGCCAUCUGACAGAGGUUAGGACACUCAGUAUUGACUGUGCUAACAUGGACGAGGAUCUGAUUGAUAUAUUAAUCAAGUCUCUAGGCAACCUGCACAAAUUGCAAAAUCUGCGUAUUGAUGAUGGUGGCAGAUUGAUAAAUCGCAUGCGUGAAAGCUGGGUGCCCCCUCCAAACCUCCGUAGUUUUGAUUCAUGGAGCAUCUCUUCUUCUUCGUCGUUCCUGAGACUUCCAAAGUGGGUUAAUUCAAGGUCGCUUCCCCACCUCUCCCGCCUGGAAAUAGAUGUGGAAGAACUGCAAGGGGAUGACAUUCAGAUCAUUGGGAUGCUGCCUGCUCUUCGGUUUCUGCGGCUGCGUGCAAGUCGCGUGAUGGGAAGGUUGGUUGUGAGGGCCGAUGCAUUCCCAUCUGCGAGAUGCUGCAUAUUCUGGGAGUUUCUGACGCCGCCGUGCCUUUUUCCACCUGGAGCCAUGCCAGGGGUUCGGCAUCUUGAGUUCCAGGUAUCUGCGCGGUCGAUCGCGAGUGGCGAGGUUGACUGCGGCCUGGGGCACCUCCCUUCUCUCGAGCAUCUUCAGGUUUCUCUGUGGCGUGAGAAUUCCAGCGAUGAAGAGAUGGAGACAGCCGAGGCUUGGCUGAGGCGGGCAGCAGAAGCCCAUCCAAAACGUCCCACCAUGAAAAUCUAUUAGACACGAGUGCUGAGUGCUGACAUGCCUCUGCCGCCGGUAAGGUACGGUAUACUCAUCUGAGCAACCAUGAAUUGUCGUUUUCCUGAAUAUGCUCAUUACCACAUUGUUUAAUCUAUCCUUCUUACUUUCCCAAUUUCAGGGCUUGAACAAAAUCCUGGAGUCAGGUACUGUAAUUCCAUCAGUUGCUGUGAAUGUUGUUCCAACAUUCCGAUAGGCAACAAACAAUUCUCUGUGCCGUCGCCCGUCGCAGUCACCAACAAUCACUGUACCACCGCAGCUCCCAAUAAAUGAAGGCUCAUUCCCUCCAACGUAUGUUCAGAUUCUGGCCUUUGCUAGACGGAGGCCUCCGCAUGAUUGUUCAUGACAAACUACUGUAUUUGCUAUUCUUUCUGCAUAUGCUUUCAGAAACUAUUUGUCAAGACUCGUACAAUAAAUGGCUGCCUCUACGUUUAUUUGAUUGUUCACAUACAGCAUCGUUUUGUUUCUACUGGCUUAUUAAUUAAGAGUUGAUUGAACUCAUGCUGGCUUGUUUUGCUUUGCUUGGCACUUGCUUAUUCAGUCAAGGCUCGUACAAUGAAAGGCAGUUUGUUCAACUCCUGUUGUAGCUCCAGAUUUGCUUCAUCCUAUUCGUUAAGCUUUCUCUUCUUGCUGCAACUCCUGCUUUCGAGCUCGUGAGAGAUAGAGCCACAAACGCUCAGAUGUUCAUAUUGUUCUUCAUGCCUCAAGGUUACAUACACAAGUGCAAAACUGAUGGCUACAUAAAACAUAAGAUAAAUUAUAAGUAGCAUUUUGUAUGCAAAAAGCCCACAAAAACAACCAACCACCGCUCACUCGCUCCUUUUUCGCAUAACAUCAACGCUCGCAAUUAUUGCCUCUCUUUCGGUUCCUGGAAAAUAUUUUCUUUCAAGAUUAUCAAUUGGACUAAGAAAAUCAAUUCAACGGUAGAUUAUCAAUUGGACUAGCAAAAUCGAUUGUCUGUAACUGACAACCAAUCUAAUGGUAUAAUUGAGCGAGCCGAGUAGUGGGUUGCUAACAGGAUUCCCAAGCUGGAAAUCUACAGAGAAAUAGACUUACCAUAUCCUCACCAAGGAAUGAGAUCGAGAACUGCUACAAACUGCUUUAGCUUCCUCAGAUAUUCUUCACAGAUGAUUGCCUCGGCUUGUUGCAAGCAAAUGUGAUUAGGUUUGUGGCGAUGGUGGAUGAUUACAACAAUUGGUCUACUAUUGUUGAGAGGUUCAUACUAAUAUUGUUGAGAGAUACUGCUGGAAAUAACUGCUGCAUAACUAGUGAUUAAAACAUAAGAAAUCUACAGCAAUUCUGUAUUGCAAAAACCUUGGCGCCCACAGCAGCCAACCAUAUAACUCGCGCGCUCUCCCUCUCGUUUUUUCAUUAGGCACAUACUUCCCAGAUAAUCAAAUUGAACUAAUGAAAUGAGUUAUAUAUAAAAAAAAUAUCACUAGAAACUUCUAAUGCAUAACUCUAAAAUACAUCUAUAUACAUCGAUAUGUAGUCCAUAUUGAAAUCUCUAGAAAGACUCAUAUUUAGAAACGGAGGAAGUAUUUCAAUCGGACUGACAAUCUAGAAAUGCACAAGAGCCUUAUAAACCCAGAGAAUAGGGCCACAGCUUCAAACAUUAACCACUAAAUCAUGGUCAGUCCGCGUUCAAACACAAUAGUCCAAUCACAGUCAGUCAGAGUUCAUUAACCAGGACAACAUUACAUAAUCCAUAAUCGACCACAAUGUAAAAAUCUCAUGACGGCCACAGAAAUUAGGCAGCCAUCGUUCACGGACUAUCGCAUCUUACAGAAAAUGCUGAAACAUCUUUAAGCAGAAGGAAAAAAAUUCCACAUAAAACAACAUACACAAGCACAAGAAUCCAUAGGCUACGCGGAAAUUUGACCACCACAGCUCUUGUCAUCUACCCUUAACACGCCAUCUCCUUUUGAUUCUCCGGGUGAGGCAAUUAUUUACAGCUAGCGACAUUUUAUGGCGGCAGGAGGACCGAAAACUUUCCAUAUGAAUGAAGCCGAUCAAAGGAACUCCAGC
rnacentral:lncRNA from 1 species